GUGCCUGCUUCAGUAGCACAAAUACUAAAAUUCAAACAACAAAUAGAUUAGCAUGGUCCCUGUACAAGGAUUACACAAAUCCGUGAAAGAGUCCGUAUCUUAAU